AUGGGCGCAAGCCUGAUCCAGCCAUGCCGCGUGUGUGAAGAAGGUCUUCGGAUUGUAAAGCNCUUUUAGUGGGGANGAAGGGCAGUNGGUUAAUACNUGGNUGUNUUGACGGUACCNANAGAAUAAGCACCGGCUAACUUCGUGCCAGCAGCCGCGGUAAUACGUAGGGUGCAAGCGUUAUUCGGAAUUACUGGGCGUAAAGCGCGCGUAGGUGGUUUUUUAAGUCNGAUGUGAAAGCCCCGGGCUCAACCUGGGAACUGCAUUGGAAACUGGGNAGCUAGAGUNUGGUAGAGGGUGGUGGAAUUCCCGGUGUAGCGGUGAAAUGCGUAGAUAUCAGGAGGAACACCCAUGGCGAAGGCAGCCUCCUGGGCCAACACUGACGCUGAGG
rnacentral:rRNA from 1 species